rnacentral:rRNA from 1 species
CCUACGGGAGGCAGCAGUGGGGGAUAUUGCACAAUGGGGGAAACCCUGAUGCAGCGACGCCGCGUGGGUGAAGAAGCGCCUCGGCGCGUAAAGCCCUGUCAGCAGGGAAGAAAAUGACGGUACCUGAAGAAGAAGCCCCGGCUAACUACGUGCCAGCAGCCGCGGUAAUACGUAGGGGACAAGCGUUAUCCGGAUUUACUGGGUGUAAAGGGGGCGCAGACGGCGAUGCAAGCCAGGAGUGAAAGCCCGGGGCCCAACCCCGGGACUGCUCUUGGAACUGCGUGGCUAGAGUGCAGGAGGGGCAGGCGGAAUUACUGGUGUAGCGGUGAAAUGCGUAGAUAUCAGGAGGAACACCGGUGGCGAAGGCGGCCUGCUGGACUGCAACUGACGUUGAGGCCCGAAAGCGUGGGGAGCAAACAGGAUUAGAUACCCCAGUAGUC